UACGUAGGCGGUUAAAUAAGUCAGGUGUAAAAGGCAUUGGCUCAACCAAUGUAAGCACUUGAAACUGUUUGACUUGAGUAUAGGAGAGGUAAGUGGAAUUCCUAGUGUAGCGGUGAAAUGCGUAGAGAUUGGGAGGAACACCAGUGGCGAAGGCGACUUACUGGGCCGUAACUGACGCUGAGGCGCGAAAGCGUGGGGAGCGAAACA
rnacentral:rRNA from 1 species